UACGUAGGUGGCAAGCGUUGUCCGGAUUUACUGGGCGUAAAGAGCGCGCAGGCGGUCGUAUAAGUCGAAUGUGAAAGCCCCCAGCUCAACUGGGGAGGGUCAUUCGAUACUGUUCGACUCGAAGGCAGGAGAGGGAAGUGGAAUUCCGGGUGUAGCGGUGGAAUGCGCAGAUAUCAGGAGGAACACCAAUAGCGAAGGCAGCUCGCUGGGACGGUACUGACGCUGAGGCGCGAAAGCGUGGGGAGCAAACAGG
rnacentral:rRNA from 1 species